UCUUGAUCCCCAGUUGUCUGCAUGCAACACUGCAGCAGUUUCACUGCUCUGUUCCCACAACACACAAGUUUUGAUGGACUACUACGGUAUUUUGAACAUCUCAGACUGAAUAAUUUCCGAAAGAGAUUAAUAUGAGAAAAAGGCCAGCAAAGUUCACAUAACAUCAGACAAAGACGGCAAACACCGCGAGCUCAGCCAAGUCUCGUCACGUCUACAGGAAGAGAGAACACUGACUACACUGACUUGUAUCAGUUCACGGGGCGCAGCUGCCACAUCCAAGAUGGCGGCGACGUCGACAUUUCACAGUAAUGUGCCAACCCGCUCAGUGAAGCGUCUAUAUGUUUUCCUACAGAAGCCCUGAACAGGAACCCUAAAGGACGACAGAGAGAUGUGAGUCGACCACAAAGACGCACAAAGCGACUGCAAAGAGACACAAAACAACCACAAAGAGAUGCAGAGAUUUGUGUUAGAGGCCCUGGAAAGUUCAAAUUAGCAGCGUCCAUCUUGUCU